rfam:Xenopus laevis strain J chromosome 5S, whole genome shotgun sequence.
GUUGGCUAUGGAGAUACUCACCCAGUUACACUGCUUGGAAAGCUUGUCGGCACUGUUUGCAUCCUCUGCGGCAUAUUAGUGGUUGCGCUUCCAAUAACUAUCAUUUUUAACAAA